AACGAACGCUGGCGGCAGGCUUAACACAUGCAAGUCGAACGAUGGCUUCGGCCAUAGUGGCGCACGGGUGAGUAACGCGUGGGAACCUACCCUGGAGUGGGGGAUAACCUCUGGAAACGGAGGCUAAUACCGCAUACGCCCUUAGGGGGAAAAAUUUAUUGCUCUAGGAUGGGCCCGCGUCCGAUUAGCUAGUUGGUGGGGUAAUGGCCUACCAAGGCUACGAUCGGUAGCUGGUCUGAGAGGAUGAUCAGCCACACUGGGACUGAGACACGGCCCAGACUCCUACGGGAGGCAGCAGUGGGGAAUCUUGGACAAUGGGGGCAACCCUGAUCCAGCCAUGCCGCGUGAGUGACGAAGGCCUUCGGGUUGUAAAGCUCUUUCGCCCACGACGAUGAUGACGGUAGUGGGAGAAGAAGCCCCGGCUAACUCCGUG
rnacentral:rRNA from 1 species